GAGUUUGAUCUUGGCUCAGAACGAACGCUGGCGGCAUGCCUAACACAUGCAAGUCGAACGAGAUCUUCGGAUCUAGUGGCGCACGGGUGCAUAACGCGUGGGAAUCUGCCCUUGGGUGCGGAAUAACUUCUCGAAAGGGAUGCUAAUACCGCAUAAUGUCGUAAGACCAAAGAUUUAUCGCCCAAGGAUGAGCCCGCGUAAGAUUAGCUAGUUGGUGGGGUAAAAGACCGUACCAAGGCGACGAUCUUUAGUCUGGUCUGAGAGGAUGAUCAGCCACACUGGGACUGAGACACGGCCCA
rnacentral:rRNA from 1 species